GCGCUCACUUUAGCGGCACAUGCACUAAAAUUGGAGCGAUACAGAGAAGAUCAGCGUGGCCCCUGCGCAAGGAUGACGCGCCAAUUCGUGACGCCUUCCCUAUUUAA